rnacentral:rRNA from 1 species
UACGAAGGUCCCAAGCGUUGUUCGGAAUCACUGGGCGUAAAGGGAGCGUAGGCGGCGUGGUAAGUCAGAUGUGAAAUCCCGGGGCUCAACCCCGGAACUGCAUCCGAUACUGCCGUGCUUGAGGGUUGGAGAGGUAGCUGGAAUUCCCGGUGUAGAGGUGAAAUUCGUAGAUAUCGGGAGGAACACCAGUGGCGAAGGCGGCGAUCUGGGAAGAUACUGACGCUGAGGUGCGAAAGCGUGGGGAGCAAACAGG